rnacentral:rRNA from 1 species
AUUGAACGCUGGCGGCAGGCCUAACACAUGCAAGUCGAACGAGUGGCGGGCGGGUGAGUAAUGUCUGGGAAACUGCCUGAUGGAGGGGGAUAACUAGUGGAACCGGUAGCUAAUACCGCAUACCAUCAGAUGUGCCCGGAUGGGAUUAGCUAGUUGGUGGGUUAACGGCUCACCAAGGCGAAGAUCCCGAUCUGGUCUGAGAGGAUGACCGGCCACACUGGAAGUGCGACACCGUCCAGACGCCUACGGGAGGCAGCAGUGGGGAAUAGUGCGCAACGGGCGCAAGCCUGAUGCAGCCGUGCCGAGUGUAUGAAGAAGGCCUUCGGUGUGUAAAGUACUUUCAGCGGUUGUGCGUUACCCGCAGAAGAAGCACCGGCUAACUCCGUGCCAGCAGCCGCGGUAAUUC